rnacentral:rRNA from 1 species
UACGGAGGGUGCAAGCGUUGUCCGGAUUUAUUGGGUUUAAAGGGUGCGUAGGCGGUCUUUUAAGUCAGUGGUGAAAUUCUCCAGCUCAACUGGAGAACUGCCAUUGAUACUGGAAGACUUGAGUAUAGUUGAGGUAGGCGGAAUUGACAGUGUAGCGGUGAAAUGCAUAGAUAUUGUCAAGAACACCGAUUGCGAAGGCAGCUUACUAAACUAUAACUGACGCUGAGGCACGAAAGUGCGGGGAUCAAACAGG